CUGAUCACGAUGUAGAACUACAAAGGCAAAUCUUAAAUAUUUACCCCAGAUAAUUAACAUAAAGAGAGAUUUCUUCUGAUUUUCAUCAUUAGUAAAAGGAAAAAGGAACACUGAUUAUCUCAGAUUUUUCAUCAUAGCAAACAUUACAUCAGAAAAGUUGUAAGUGCAGUUAACAUUAGUAAUCUUCAGCCUAAUGAAGUUCAGAUAACAAAUCACUCAAGGAACUGUGCAGACAAAGAUGUUCCGGUAUCAUAAAUUAUAAUGUUGUGGAAUCUUGCAGGCCUAAAAGAUCUACCACAGGACUUCCCUAUUUUUUACAUGGAAUGACAACAUAAAACUUUAGAAAAAAAAUAAUAAUAAACCUUGACUCCAAAAUUAAAGUGUGUACAAAGAAACACCUUUUCUUCCCAUGUGAAUACAAGUUGAGAUGCACUAAAACUUAAAAAAUUUUCCAAAUGAAUUCCUUCAAUCACAUUGUUGGAAUAUCACUUGUGG
rnacentral:misc_RNA from 1 species